rnacentral:rRNA from 1 species
UACGUAGGGUGCAAGCGUUGUCCGGAAUUAUUGGGCGUAAAGAGCUCGUAGGCGGUUUGUCACGUCUGCUGUGAAAACUGGAGGCUCAACCUCCAGCUUGCAGUGGGUACGGGGCAGACUAGAGUGCGGUAGGGGGAGAUUUGGAAUUCCUGGUGUACGGUGGAAUCGCAGAUAUCAGGAGGAACACCGAUGCGAAGGCAGAUCUCUGGGGCCGUAACUGAC